rnacentral:rRNA from 1 species
GAUGAACGCUGGCGGCGUGCCUAAUACAUGCAAGUCGAGCGAACAGACGAGGAGCUUGCUCCUCUGACGUUAGCGGCGGACGGGUGAGUAACACGUGGAUAACCUACCUAUAAGACUGGGAUAACUUCGGGAAACCGGAGCUAAUACCGGAUAAUAUAUUGAACCGCAUGGUUCAAUAGUGAAAGACGGUUUUGCUGUCACUUAUAGAUGGAUCCGCGCCGCAUUAGCUAGUUGGUAAGGUAACGGCUUACCAAGGCAACGAUGCGUAGCCGACCUGAGAGGGUGAUCGGCCACACGGGAAGUGAGACACGGUCCAGACUCCGAAGGGAGGCAGAAGGGGGGAAUCUGGCACAAUGGGCGAAAGCUGGACGGAGCAGCGCCGAGGGAGUGAAGAAGGUUUUCGGUGCGUAAAGCUCUGUUGUUGGGAAAGAAAAAAUGUGUAAGAAUAAAUCCGGGUUAUGACGGUACCUAAUAAAAAAGCCCCGGCUAACUACGUG